rnacentral:rRNA from 1 species
ACUCCUACGGGAGGCAGCAGUGAGGAAUAUUGGACAAUGGGUGGAAGCCUGAUCCAGCCAUCCCGCGUGCAGGAAGACGGCCCUAUGGGUUGUAAACUGCUUUUAUCUGGGGAUAAACCUACUUACGUGUAAGUAGCUGAAGGUACCAGAAGAAUAAGCACCGGCUAACUCCGUGCCAGCAGCCGCGGUAAUACGGAGGGUGCAAGCGUUAUCCGGAUUUAUUGGGUUUAAAGGGUCCGUAGGCGGACUGAUAAGUCAGUGGUGAAAUCCGACAGCUUAACUGUCGAACUGCCAUUGAUACUGUUAGUCUUGAGUAAGGUUGAAGUGGCUGGAAUAAGUAGUGUAGCGGUGAAAUGCAUAGAUAUUACUUAGAACACCAAUUGCGAAGGCAGGUCACUAAGUCUUAACUGACGCUGAUGGACGAAAGCGUGGGGAGCGAACAGGAUUAGAAACCCCUGUAGUCCCAUG